rnacentral:rRNA from 1 species
CCUACGGGAGGCAGCAGUGGGGAAUCUUGCGCAAUGGCCGAGAGGCUGACGCAGCGACGCCGCGUGGGGGAUGAAGCAUUUCGGUGUGUAAACCCCUGUUGCUCGGGACGAACGACCCUUUUCGAGGGGUGUGACGGUACCGAGUGAGGAAGCACCGGCUAACUCCGUGCCAGCAGCCGCGGUAAUACGGAGGGUGCAAGCGUUGUCCGGAAUCACUGGGCGUAAAGGGCGCGUAGGUGGUUAGAUGCGCCGGUGGUGAAAGCGCAGGGCUCAACCCUGCGUCGGCCAUCGGGACGGUCUGACUGGAGCACUGUAGAGGCAGGUGGAAUUCCGGGUGUAGCGGUGGAAUGCGUAGAGAUCCGGAAGAACACCGGUGGCGGAGGCGGCCUGCUGGGCAGUUGCUGACACUGAGGCGCGACAGCGUGGGGAGCAAACAGGAUUAGAUACCCUGGUAGUCCACGCCGUAAACGAUGGGCACUAGGUGCUUGGGGGAGCGACCCCCUGAGUGCCGACGCUAACGCAUUAAGUGCCCGCCUGGGGAGUACGACCGCAAGGUUGAAACUCAAAGAGAGUGCGNGNGAGCGCGACGACGACGACGACGGAGGAGGAGG